AGUUUUUUCCCUACAAUCAAGCUGUCUAAAUUUUAUGAAAUAAAAUACACGGUGCUACUGAAGAACUAGUUUUGGCAUUAGUGGUUAAAUCAGUGCUGCUUGAUAGGUGCGGUCUGCCAUCUUGAUUCAAAAUGGCGUCCAAUUGUAUCCAAACACAGACGGAAACCUGCUUCUUGAGCUCAGGCACCAUCAUGCAAAAUUUGGUAAGAAUUAGUGCAGAAUUGAAAGGUUCAUGCCAUAAUCUGGAUUCAAAAUGGCAUCCAAUUGUACCCAACAAUUGUAUAAUAGCCAACACAGUCUAACCUCCCCAUAAACUUUGAUCUGCAAACAAUUCAAAAUGAAUGCUCAAUAAAGAAGUUGUCCGGAAGUUGUAGUGGGAUUCUGUGUAUGUUUAGAUGGCUGACAAUGCCCCUGCUGGGUUGGUUUGCCUUCUUUCGGGACCCAUCUGCCCCCCAUCUCUCUCUCUCUCUCUCUCUCUCUCUCUCUCUCUCUCACACACACACACACACACACACACACACACUCAUUCCAGCCGUGGAGCCCAGCUGCUCCAUUCCUGCUCAUGCUACAAUGGCACAACAUAUAGAGAUUUAAUUGGGUGAACGACGGUCUCAACAGGGACUAUGGAUUUCUUUCUCAUUAUAAAGCCUGGUGGAAGAAAUUAAGGUAUGCAUUCACUUUAGGAUGAGGAUUCCACACAGGCGCUUUCUUUCAAAAUCCUAACAACCGACCCUUAUAUACGUCUUGCUGUUGUGUACUUAUAUAUUUCAGCAUCUGAUGGUGGUGGACUGUAGCAGAUAGAAGCUCAUGCAAAGGUCAAGUCUUUUCUUUCUUUUUCUAAUGAACAGCCUCAGACAAACAUAGCUUUGAAUAGCACAAGAUGCAGAGGAAGGCUGCUAGGAAAUGAUGUGUGCUUGUCCGCUUAGCGGAGGCUUCCUGAACAGGCUGUGCCGGAACAUUCCGUAAGUGUCAGCAGAAUCAGCACCCUAACCUAUCCCCAGCAAAGAGACUCACGGACUUCACAGCAGCCGGUUGGAUGGCUAUAGUUUUGCAGCGAUGGGGAACCUGUGGUCUUCCAGACAUUGCUGGAGAUCGGCUCUAACCAAUGGUUUAUAAAAUGCUGACUGCAAAACUAAGAGAUCAAAAUGAUGGUUUAUGGAAAACUGGAUACCUUUUUGGGGAGGAUUUUCUGUCGAAAUAUUUUAGUGAUAUGAAAUUGUGUGCAGGAUUUGAGAUACGAGAGGCGGGGGGAAACGAUGAUAAGAUGGAGUUAGAAGGUUUAAGAACAAUGCAGCAGUUAAGGAUAAGAAUAAAAAGCAUGAGUGUGGGAGGGGUGGUAAGUCAAAAA